GCGGGACUACCCGCGCCCGCCGGCGCCUCGCUGCGGACCCAAGGGGCCCGGUCACCGGGUCCGGAGUCUUCUCCCUCGCUGUGGGACUUCCCGCAGCCACCGAGCCUGUCUGUGCUGUUUCUCCGUUAGCUGUGUGCAGGGUUUUGGUUGAGGAACCGAGGAGAAAACCCGCCGAGCGCUCGCGACUGUCGCGGCCGGGCCGUGCGGGGCCGGUGCGCCGAGCCCGUCGGAGACGACCGGCCUCACCCCGGCGACGCGCCCCCGCGGGGAGGGCCCCUGACCUCCAGAGUGAGUGCGCCUUCCCGGGGGCGGUGGCCGAGUCCUGGAAGGCGAGUGAGGAUGCCGGGAGAGUGCACUUAGGUGGCGCCCCACCGUGGAGUGCCCGUGCUGACCUUGAUCCCUGCGGGAAGAUAAUGGCAACCACCUCGUGGGGCAUCCACGCUCAGGUCACCAACCACAGGAGCCCCCACCCCCACCCCGAAGCUGAAGGAGUGGGCUGUGAGCCAGAGGGGGUGCAGAGCACCGCCAGUAAGGCACAGGUCCCUGUUUGAGGUGAGCGCUUACGUUGUGACUCAUUUAGUGUUUUUCUCUACUUACGAAAGCAAAGACGAUCAACUGAACUUAUCUUACAGUUCAUAUUCUAGAAUGACAAUGGAAAACACUCAUCACAGAAUUGCUGUUUUUGUUUAGUAACUCUAAGAAAAAGCACCGGCUUUUAUAGAAGUGUCUUCCAGCAGAUGAUCAGCGCCCGUAGCUCACCAAGGAGGGCUACACGGAGCACAGGUGCGGCUCUCGCAUCCAGGGGCUGCUCCUCCCUGUGUGCGGCUCACGAUACUGUUCCAGGCCGUGAAAUUAGUAUCUUGUGAUAGGUAUCUUUACUGUGUGUGAAGACUGCACGUUCAGAGACAUGGUGGCAUGUUGCAAUCCAUCAGGUAAUGGUUUCAGGAUGUAAACAGAGCUGUGAGCUGGAAGCACCUCCGUGGGUCUCAAGACUCCUCUCCCUGAUCUUUAAUUUCAGAAAUUCUGUCUAUAGAUUUAAGGAUUUCAGCAACAAGAUUCAAUGUUUCAGCUCCAGAAACCAGCUGCCUGAAAUAAAAGCACAGAUGUUACAGAUGGUUUCUACAACUGCUCCAGGGCAAUAACAGAAGCUUUGGGACCUCCCUGGCAGUCCAGUGGUUUGGGCUCCCCGCCUCCACUGCAGGGGGCACAGCUGUGUCUGGACACCCGAUGGGCUUCCCUACCAGCGGCUCUGACCGGACACCGCUGCUGCUGAGCUCAGCCCCGCGGGAGAGAGAUCACGACGACGGCAACCGACCCCUCCCAGGAGCCUCACUGUGCCCUGCACGUCUUGGGCCUUCUUCAAGUGUAUGUGUUUUUAUAAGAGGGAAAGUAUUAUUCUUUUUCACUCAAAACCUUGGUGUCUUGUAGGUGAUUCAGGUCUGGCUGACGUUAACCCUCAAGCCUCCCAGGUGAGAACGGUUAUCCCCCCGUGGACCGUGGAGGGCCUGCUCACCAAGGAUGUGUCGUGUGACUGCGGAGUGGACAGGAUCACUGAGCCCCACCCCCCAAGGCUGCAGCUGGAAGCAUCGGCUAAGCACCCCUCCAGGCCCUGCACUCACUUGACGGAGGCACGCGCGUUGUCCAUGACGACGCGCAGGUUCUGCAGGGCCACGUCGGUGUUCUGCUUCACCACUGCCAGGCUGGCACCCUGGCCUGACCGCAGGGCUUCGUUCUCCUGCUUGAAGUUAGAGACCUGCGCCUGGGCCCGGGGUGGGGGGGAGGGGACGGGCGUGGCAGCGUUAGAGCUUUUUCCUGGCUAAACAGGAGAGCAGCUAAAAGGCCAUCUGACUGAAACCAGACAAGGCACCCUAGGUAGAGGCGACAAGGGGAUGAUGCCCUUCCCUAACUGGGGGGUAGCAGGCCUCCUAAAGGACACGGGCCUAAUGCCGUCCCUGGUACCUCGCCUGUCGUCUGGUGCGCACGUGCCACCCCCCGCUCUAUAGUGAUGCCCUCGACACUCCUGUUGGGCACAACCAGGAGGCCCGGCACGAAAGCUCAGGCUGUCCUGAUCUGGGUGCUUCAUCUGCGGGGGAGCGGGAGGGCGAGGGGAGGAAACCCCAGCAGAGACUCUUUGGUGCCCUUUUUGGAAUUCACGAAUAUGUGAACCGUUUAAGCCCCUCUCUCUAGUUACCUGGAGCAAGCUGAUUUCCUGUUUCAGUUUUAGGACGUGAUUUUCGGCCUUUACUGCCCGUUUCUGUUAUUCCCCCCACAAAAAGAGAAAAAAAAUAAGAGGCAUCACUGACACGGUAAAAUGGACGCAGGGCGCAUCCCCUCCCUCCCCGCCCCUCCCCCUCCCCCUCCCUCCCCGUCCCCCUCCCUCCCCGUCCCUCUCCCUCACCUGGCGGCCCCGGCUGGGCAGCCCACUGUGAGGGGCCCUGCUCACUGCCGGCCUGCCUGGGCCCACCCAGACCCAUGUGCCCCCGGGGCAGGACUCAGUGCCCUGUGGGGAGUGACACAGCAGACACCGACAGUGUCCAGCCAGGCUGGCCCCGCCCAUGCCCCACUGCGAGCCAGGCGCCUGUCUGCUCACGGUCAUGCGCUCCAGAUUCUGCUCCACCUGCUGCACCACCGAUUCCAGGUCAUGGUAGUCACUCUCCUCCUUGAUCAUUUUCGCUUCUAACUUCCGCUCCAGCGUCCUCACCCUUGUUAAGGAAAAAGCCCAGGUGACUAGUAACUCCCUUGACUAAUUCUAAGAAUGUCAGACUAUAAGCAGUUUUAAUUGGAUUUGAUCAAAUAAAAACCACAAGGUUUCAGAAUGCACCUUGGGAGGAACAGCUGUGAGGCGACCACCUCAGAGCUGGAUGCCAGUUGGCUGGCGGUCAGGGGUGCCCUGGGGCCGUCUGACAGCUCUGCUGCUCCAUUGUCAAGUGGGGUUGAUUUUGCUCUGUUUCAAACACACUUUUACACAAAACAUAAGAAACGUAUCUGAUGCUGAGGAUUUAAUGCAAUAAAACCAUUCUCACACAACUACUGAAGCCUGCAUGCCUAGAGCCCGUGCACCGCAACGAAGAGUAGCCCCCGCUCGCCGCAACUAGAGAAAGCCCGCGCACAGCAACGAAGACCCAACGCGGCCAAAAAUAAAUAAGUUAAAUAAACAAACUAAUUUUAAAAAACAAAACAAUAAAAACCCAGGCACAGUCCAAUUCUGAUACUUCAUUAUCGUUUUCGCAUUGGUUUCUUUGAGGGUCAGAAGAUAAUUUGAAUUGCAAGCCUAACUCAAAACUUACGUACAUUUCUGUUUGAGUUUCAGAGAAGCUCUGAACCUCGGUCAGCUUUCUUCUUAGCUUAGAAUUUUCAUCUUUCAGCUGCAGAAAAAGAAAAUCCUCAUUAGAAGCUCGGUGUCUCACUGCAAAGGGAUGUGUACUUCUGCUACUUGGCUCUGCAACUUCUUGAUAAACAAAAACAUUGCAAGAGCCACUCUACAGUCCACAUACAGUGAAAAACCAAGAACAAGGUUUUCUGCUUUUUAAAGGCCUACUACAGUCACAGACUCCAGUCUUACUGAGAUCUUAUAACUCUUAGGUGACUAUAAUUUUUCAAAUGCCCUCAGGACACCGGGCAAGCUGUCCCCGAGCCACCAGCUGGGGUGGACCCUUUUCUGAGGGCAGCGCGUUGAGGAUCUCCCUCUGCUCCAGUUCACGCCCCCUCACAGCCCUCCGCAGGACU